rnacentral:rRNA from 1 species
CAGCAGCCGCGGUAAUACGAAGGGUGCAAGCGUUAAUCGGAAUUACUGGGCGUAAAGCGUGCGUAGGCGGUGAGUUAAGUCUGCUGUGAAAUCCCCGGGCUCAACCUGGGAAUGGCAGUGGAUACUGGCUCGCUAGAGUGUGUCAGAGGAUGGUGGAAUUCCCGGUGUAGCGGUGAAAUGCGUAGAGAUCGGGAGGAACAUCAGUGGCGAAGGCGGCCAUCUGGGACAACACUGACGCUGAGGUGCGAAAGCGUGGGGAGCAAACAGGAUUAGAGACCCGUGUAGUCCCUGUCUCUUAUAC